rnacentral:rRNA from 1 species
CAGCAGCCGCGGUAAUACGUAGGGUGCGAGCGCUAAUCGGAAUUACUGGGCGUAAAGCGUGCGCAGGCGGUUAUAUAAGACAGAUGUGAAAUCCCCGGGCUCAACCUGGGACCUGCAUUUGUGACUGUAUAGCUAGAGUACGGUAGAGGGGGAUGGAAUUCCGCGUGUAGCAGUGAAAUGCGUAGAUAUGCGGAGGAACACCGAUGGCGAAGGCAAUCCCCUGGACCUGUACUGACGCUCAUGCACGAAAGCGUGGGGAGCAAACAGGAUUAGAGACCCGUGUAGUCCCUGUCUCUUAUAC